rnacentral:lncRNA from 1 species
GACGGGUUUUAUUACAAGAGUGUAGGCUGUUUACAACACAUGACACCGCAUAAAUACGUGCAGCAUGCUAACAUGCUAACGAGCAUCGGAGCAGAGAUACGACAUUUCUGCAGCCUGGGGCCACCAGACCCGUCUCAUAAAGACACUGAAGGAUAAGCCACUAGCCCAGUGCAUGGCGACUUGUAUGUUCUGUCACCAGAAUUUCAUCAUGAACCAUGUUGAUGGGUGUGAAACUGCUCGUCCAGCAUCUCAGGCCUCUGCUUCAUCUUCACCCUCCACCUAUCCAGCAUCUCAGGCCUCUGCUUCAUCUUCACCCUCCACCCAUCCAGCAUCUCAGGCCUCGGCUUCAUCUUUACCCUCCAC